rnacentral:rRNA from 1 species
GAGCAAUCUGUGUGACUGCGUACCUUUUGUAUAAUGGGUCAGCGACUUAUAUUCUGUAGCAAGGUUAACCGAAUAGGGGAGCCGAAGGGAAACCGAGUCUUAACUGGGCGUUAAGUUGCAGGGUAUAGACCCGAAACCCGGUGAUCUAGCCAUGGGCAGGUUGAAGGUUGGGUAACACUAACUGGAGGACCGAACCGACUAAUGUUGAAAAAUUAGCGGAUGACUUGUGGCUGGGGGUGAAAGGCCAAUCAAACCGGGAGAUAGCUGGUUCUCCCCGAAAGCUAUUUAGGUAGCGCCUCGUGAAUUCAUCUCCGGGGGUAGAGCACUGUUUCGGCAAGGGGGUCAUCCCGACUUACCAACCCGAUGCAAACUGCGAAUACCGGAGAAUGUUAUCACGGGAGACACACGGCGGGUGCUAACGUCCGUCGUGAAGAGGGAAACAACCCAGACCGCCAGCUAAGGUCCCAAAGUCAUGGUUAAGUGGGAAACGAUGUGGGAAGGCCCAGACAGCCAGGAUGUUGGCUUAGAAGCAGCCAUCAUUUAAAGAAAGCGUAAUAGCUCACUGGUCGAGUCGGCCUGCGCGGAAGAUGUAACGGGGCUAAACCAUGCACCGAAGCUGCGGCAGCGACGCUUAUGCGUUGUUGGGUAGGGGAGCGUUCUGUAAGCCUGUGAAGGUGUGCUGUGAGGCAUGCUGGAGGUAUCAGAAGUGCGAAUGCUGACAUAAGUAACGAUAAAGCGGGUGAAAAGCCCGCUCGCCGGAAGACCAAGGGUUCCUGUCCAACGUUAAUCGGGGCAGGGUGAGUCGACCCCUAAGGCGAGGCCGAAAGGCGUAGUCGAUGGGAAACAGGUUAAUAUUCCUGUACUUGGUGUUACUGCGAAGGGGGGACGGAGAAGGCUAUGUUGGCCGGGCGACGGUUGUCCCGGUUUAAGCGUGUAGGCUGGUUUUCCAGGCAAAUCCGGAAAAUCAAGGCUGAGGCGUGAUGACGAGGCACUACGGUGCUGAAGCAACAAAUGCCCUGCUUCCAGGAAAAGCCUCUAAGCAUCAGGUAACAUCAAAUCGUACCCCAAACCGACACAGGUGGUCAGGUAGAGAAUACCAAGGCGCUUGAGAGAACUCGGGUGAAGGAACUAGGCAAAAUGGUGCCGUAACUUCGGGAGAAGG